rnacentral:misc_RNA from 1 species
GAUGAAGAACGCAGCGAAAUGCGAUAAGUAAUGUGAAUUGCAGAAUUCAGUGAAUCAUCGAAUCUUUGAACGCACAUUGCGCCCAUUAGUAUUCUAGUGGGCAUGCCUGUUCGAGCGCCAUUUCAACCCUUAAGCCUAGCUUAGUAUUGGGAAUCGACUUUACUGUCGUUCCUCAAAUUCAACGGCGGAUUUAUAGCAAUCUCUGAACGUAGUAAUUUUUUUCCUCGUUUUUGAAAUACUAUAAACCUCAGCCGCUAAACCCCCAAUUUUUCUAUGGUUGACCUCGGAUCAGGUAGGAAUACCCGCUGAACUUAAGCAUAUCAAUAAGCGGAGGA